UCUCCGUUGGUGAACCAGCGGAGGGAUCAUUACAGAGUUUUCACCACUCCCACCCCUUGCGAACCGCACCCAUUCCGUUCUCGUUGCUUCCGGCGGGGGGGACUGGGGGGCCCGAAACGGCCUCCCCGCCCCGCCCGCCGGCGGCGGCGGGCCCUACGAACCUUUAUAUCUCAGUCACCAGAAACCGUCUGAGAAAACAAACAAAAUAAUCAAAACUUUCAACAACGGAUCUCUUGGCUCUG
rnacentral:misc_RNA from 1 species